GGUCCACGGCCGGAAUGGCAGCAAGCUCAGUUCAGCAAGACGCUUCCAGUUACUUCCUGCUCUUAAAAAAAAAAAAAAAAAAAGAAUAAAUCUCUCAUGACUCUAUAUCCUUCUUGACACCUAACCAAGAGAAAUUGAGAUGACAGUUAAUUGCAAAUUAAUAAAGAAGGCCAUCAUCUACUCAGCCUUUACCUAAGUGGAAUCCUGUCUUUUGCGCAUUUAACUUACAAGAAUUUACCUGCAUCAGUCAGUUAUGUGAAGAAGAAAAGGGAAUAUAUUUCAGCGUACACAAGGCCCUUGUGCUUUUUAGGAGGAGUUCUUUGGAGCUGAAGUGGGUCUGAGAAGAGACAUUCUCAUGAUAGUGGAGACAGUAUUAUAGAAGCUGGAAGUGAUCAUUUUUCUCUGUUAUUUAUUUCACUUAUUACCUCACACACAUAUUGAUAUAAAACUGAUCAAUAAAGUUAGAAUUUCUACAUU
rnacentral:lncRNA from 10 species